rnacentral:rRNA from 1 species
AGUUAUGGCCAUACCACCUGGAGAUGCCCAAUCUCAUCUGAUCCGUGAAGCUAAGCAGAGACAGGCCUGGAAAGUAAUUGGAUGGGAGGCCCCUGAGAGUGCUCACCUUGCCUA